rnacentral:rRNA from 1 species
UACGUAGGGCGCAAGCGUUGUCCGGAAUUAUUGGGCGUAAAGAGCUCGUAGGCGGCUUGUCACGUCGGGUGUGAAAGCCCGGGGCUUAACCCCGGGUCUGCAUUCGAUACGGGCAGGCUGGAGUGUGGUAGGGGAGAUCGGAAUUCCUGGUGUAGCGGUGAAAUGCGCAGAUAUCAGGAGGAACACCGGUGGCGAAGGCGGAUCUCUGGGCCAUUACUGACGCUGAGGAGCGAUAGCGUGGGGAGCGAACAGG